AAAUAAAUCUCGAAUGGAUGAAGAGGAGGAGGAAGAUGAAAGUACAAGCGAAGAGGAACAUGACGCCGAUGAGGAAUUUCUGCCUGAAUAAUGUUUAUAGGAUCUCAAUGGUGCAAAACCGUCUAUUGCUCCAAGUACCAACAAGUAUAUGAAAAAUAUAUUUCAAUGUGAUUGCACUCUAGGAAAUGCCGGCGACAUUUGUCUCGCAUAAUGUUUAAGAAUGUCUGCUGAGAAAAAUUUCCACGUUCCAAAUUAGUUUUAAGAUCAAAUCUCAUGUCAUAUCCUAGAAUAAACUUUUUCAUAAGUAUAAAAACAAUUUUGGCACAACAGAAAAACACAGAAGUCGGUUGUAUGGCAGCCGCUUGUAUGUACCGGAUUGACCCGAUGAAUUCCUUCAUCGGCAAGGGCUGCCCCCUGAGUGUACCACACAAUGCUACUACAACAACAGAUGUCG
rnacentral:sRNA from 1 species